rnacentral:rRNA from 1 species
AACCUUACCAGGGUUUUGACAUGCAAGUGUAGGAAGCCGAAAGGUGACCGACCCUUCGGGGAGCUUGCACAGGUGCUGCAUGGCUGUCGUCAGCUCGUGUCGUGAGAUGUCGGGUUAAGUCCUCUAACGAGCGAAACCCUUGCCGUUAGUUACCAGCGAGUCAUGCCGGGAACUCUAACGGGACUGCCGGUGUUAAACCGGAGGAAGGUGGGGAUGACGUCAAGUCAUCAUGGCCUUUAUGCCUAGGGCAUCACACGUGCUACAAUGGCCGGCACAAAGCGACGCAAGACCGCGAGGUGGAGCCAAUCGCAAAAACCGGCCCCAGUUCGGAUUGCAGGCUGGCAACUCGCCUGCAUGAAGUUGGAAUCGCUAGUAAUCGCGAAUCAGCUAUGUCGCGGUGAAUGUGUCCCUGAGCCUU